rfam:Gossypium hirsutum cultivar TM-1 chromosome 15, whole genome shotgun sequence
UGUUAAAAAUUUUCAUUCAUUUGUACUGUUAAAGACUGUCGUAGUUGACGAAAUAACCAGAUAGUAACAAGUGUCAUGCCACGUGCACUUCAUGUUGACUUACAUGAAUCGAUCUUAAAUAGUAGAAAUGGAUGAAAUUUUUAACA